GCGGCCCGAGCCCGACGCCCCCCGCUGUGCACUGCCCUGACGCCUCCCGCGGCGGGAGAUGGAGCGAAGCUGCCAACUUACCUGCUCUCCCGCUCGCGCCUCGCUCCCUCGGUUUCAUUACCGAGGUGCCACGGUCUAGGAGAGAAAGUAACACUUCCUCAUCUAUUCACCUCCGAACUCCUUUCUCAUACCAGGAAUGAAGAAACAAAAUAAUAAAAGGAUUUGACUUUUCAGUAUCCCUCUUUUGAGCUCAGCACCACCCAAAAGUGGAAACAGUUUGGAUAGAGUCAACCCCAGUUACAAGACCUGGGAUUUAAAUAAUGAAGAGGUUUAUCUCUCAUCUGAGAAGAGUUUAUAGUCCACAGCAAUAGCCUGGAGACAAAUAUUCACACCUCUGGGAUCCCACAAAGACUGUAAUUAGGCAGCAUUUUAUUGUGAGGCAGUCAAUGUGCAGAAGAUGGAGCUGGACUACUCUCAGGGGCUUAGCAACAAAAUUGGCUUCCUGGAGAGCCAACAGAAGAAAUCUGGCAACCUAAAAAUAUUUAAAGAGCUUAGGACCCCCAAGGGAGAAUUUGCAGCUAUUGAAGUGGAAAAGAUUAAGCAUUUCCUAUGUUUGAAAAGGAGAUUUUUAAUGGAAAAACUCAGCAAAGUGCAGAGUUUGGUUAGAGCAUCUUAAAAAAAUAAUAAUUAAGAUCAGACCUAUCAUAUACAGAGUAAUUAAAUCAGAGACUUUAUAUUUUCUUUAUAAUGACAUAAGGAAAAGGAUCUAAAAACAGACACUACAGAUAAUGAACUCUUCUUUCCCCUGCAUUCAUUAGAACAUAGCACCUUCAUCACACAGAGGACAUGUUCCAUCUCACCAUCUCUCAGGCAUAAAUCUUGACACGGUCUUCACAAUCUUUUCCUCUGGCCUCUAAUUACAAUUCUGCUAUUUAUUCCUCAACACAGCCUUCAUUUCAUAUGUUCCUUACAUGAUAGAGAUGCAGUGUGUGCUGUGGUUAAGCCCAUAGACACCAGGGCCAGCUGCCUAAAGUCUGGCUUUCUGACUUUGGCAAUGACUUCACCUCUUCGUGCCUUGGUUUCCUUGGCUAUAGAAUGGGGAUAACAAUAGUACCAGUCUCUUUGGGUGGUCAGGAGGGUUAAAUCAGUUAUCACAAUGAAAAGCACUAGGAAAAUUGCCCAACACACAGUAAGAACUCAAUGAAUGUUCUCUAUUAUUAUCACUACUCUUUGCAUUUCCCUUAGUGCCUAUAAAAAUAGUUAGCAUAUUUGUAGAAGAAAAACAAGACCAUGGUCUAACAAAAGAUUUUUUGCAGAUUUGUGGAUUCAUUUAUGUGGAAAGUCUAAACAACAUAUUUAGUUAUAAACUUAAGGGUUUUUUUUAUUAUUACAUACAAACCUAGAACCCAGGAAGUAUUCUACAGUGUGGUCCCUGACCUCAAGCAGUUUAUACUCCACGUGAGACACAGAGCAUACGCCUGUGGAACUUUAAAGAAAAAUUCAAAAUAGUUCAUGAUUAUGUGUAAGGUGAGUAGUUCAGACCAUAAGAGCUACAAAAAUGUGCAGGAGAAGGAAUUCUGAGGAAUCAAAUCUUCGUUGUGUGCAUGAAGUUGCCAGAGAACUGCAUUUGGAUCAUAAAAUACAGGUGGAGAAAAUGAAGAGCUUUUCCAGCAGAGAGGAAGACGUGCAGUGAGGGCAAGUAAACAAAGUCAUUCAUCUGGAACUGGUAAUCUGUGUUUGAAAUUAGGUGAGAUAGGUCAGCAAAGCUAUUCUGGGCCCAGAUCACACUGUGAGGGCUUCAAAUGCCAGACCAACUUUACCCUGAGAGUCCCUGAAGUUUUGUUAGUUGCAAAAUGGCAAAAAAAUAUAUGCAAGAUAGGCUUGUACGGGAGAGAGAAUAAGCAAGGAGAAAAGUUAGAUGGCCUUUAUUAAUAGUCUAGGUAUAACCAGAUGUGGUCCUGCCAAGGUGGAGACAUUGAGAAUAAAAAGGAAGUGACCGCCAUAAAAGCAUGAUAAAGACUUGUCCCAUUCAUUUCACCCUCAAAGCCAAAAUCUCCCUGUAAGGAAAGUAGAAAAAGCUUAGUCAGGAUCUCUCACCUUACAUAUGUUACAAAUGGGCAAGAUUCAGCAAAUUCACUGAAAACAAGUUAUAAAAGUAGUGUAACUGCACAUGUGUGCCCAUUUACUGAUUCAGCACAAUUAUAAUUAUGUAAUGCUUGGUUUGUGGCUGCUAUUGUGUACUAAGAGUAUAAAGGUAACUGCUCUGAACCACUGGGCAGCAGAGCUCAUGUCUGAGAAUAAAGCAUGUCUAUGAAGCUCAUAUCUGAAGAAUAAAAUAUAUCUACCUUGCAUGAAGCUGCCAGAAUCUUCUUUCAAUUACCUGACAUGCAACCUGCACAGGAAGGGGCAGAAGGAUCUGAAAUCUAGCCCGACACUCCCCUGGACCAGUUUUUGUUAUCUGAGCAUACUAGGCCAAGCCCAGGAGCACCAGGUGCA